UACGAAGGGGGCUAGCGUUGCUCGGAAUCACUGGGCGUAAAGGGUGCGUAGGCGGUUCUUUAAGUCAGGGGUGAAAUCCUGGAGCUCAACUCCAGAACUGCCUUUGAUACUGAAGAUCUUGAGUUCGGGAGAGGUGAGUGGAACUGCGAGUGUAGAGGUGAAAUUCGUAGAUAUUCGCAAGAACACCAGUGGCGAAGGCGGCUCACUGGCCCGGUACUGACGCUGAGGUGCGAAAGCGUGGGGAGCAAACAGG
rnacentral:rRNA from 1 species